AUUGAACGCUGGCGGCAUGCCUUACACAUGCAAGUCGAACGGCAGCACGGGUGCUUGCACCUGGUGGCGAGUGGCGAACGGGUGAGUAAUACAUCGGAACAUGUCCUUUAGUGGGGGAUAGCCCGGCGAAAGCCGGAUUAAUACCGCAUACGAUCUACGUAUGAAAGCGGGGGACCUUCGGGCCUCGCGCUAUAGGGUUGGCCGAUGGCUGAUUAGCUAGUUUGUGGGGUAAAGGGCUACCAAGGCGACGAUCAGUAGCUCGUCUGAGAGGACGAGAAGCCACACUGGGACUGAGACACGGACCAGACUCCUACGGGAGGCAGCAGUGGGGAAUUUUGGACAAUGGGCGAAAGCCUGAUACAGCAAUGCCGCGUGUGUGAAGAAGGCCUUCGGGUUGUAAAGCACUUUUGUCCGGAAAGAAAUGCUUGGCUCUAAUACAGUCGGGGGAUGACGGUACCGGAAGAAUAAGCACCGGCUAACUACGUG
rnacentral:rRNA from 1 species